rnacentral:rRNA from 1 species
GAUGAACGCUGGCGGCGUGCUUAACACAUGCAAGUCGAACGGUGAACGAGGGAGCUUGCUCCCUCCGGAUCAGUGGCGAACGGGUGAGUAACACGUGAGCAAUCUGCCCUGGACUCUGGGAUAAGCGUUGGAAACGACGUCUAAUACCGGAUACGAGGCGUGGGGGCAUCCCCAACGCCUGGAAAGAACUUCGGUCCAGGAUGAGCUCGCGGCCUAUCAACUUGUUGGUGAGGUAACGGCUCACCAAGGCGACGACGGGUAGCCGGCCUGAGAGGGUGACCGGCCACACUGGGACUGAGACACGGCCCAGACUCCUACGGGAGGCAGCAGUGGGGAAUAUUGCACAAUGGGCGCAAGCCUGAUGCAGCAACGCCGCGUGAGGGACGACGGCCUUCGGGUUGUAAACCUCUUUUAGCAGGGAAGAAGCGAAAGUGACGGUACCUGCAGAAAAAGCACCGGCUAACUACGUGCCAGCCGCCGCCGUAAGAC